rnacentral:lncRNA from 1 species
CCAAAUCAAUCUCUCAUCGAUCAAUCAUCCCAAAUCCCCCAAUCAAAGCCACCGUCCCGAGGACCGCUCCGGCGGCAGCGGCGGCGGAAAGCUUCCCGCGGCCGCCGCCUCGCCCCGCUCACCCCCAAGCCUUCCCCCUCCUCGUCCGACUCGCGCCGCACCCCGACGACCGCCGGUGGCAAGGAGAAGUCGGCGGCGUCCAAGCCGUCCAAGCCCACGUCGGUCGUGCGGUGGUCCACUUCGUGGAUCCCGAGGGCCCGAGCUCCGUGGAGUCCUCCAAGCUCGUCUAUACCCUCCGGGCUGCCGCCCGGGAGGGCCUCUGUCGGGAAGGACGCGGAGGCUGAGGCGGGCUUGCGGCGGAGCGUGGGCAGUGGGAUCAGGUCUGCUUCUUUAUUUUGUACUCCGUACCAUUUAUGUCCAUGUAUUUUUCCACUACACUGGAUUUUUACAUGUAUUCACCAAAACAUUGUUCAAACUCAGUUGCUGCCAUGUUCAUAAGCAUGCGCACUAUUUUCUUGGCAUCAAUCCCUAGACACAUACACAGAGAUUAACCAUCAACAAAAUUAAUAUCUUGUUAGUUGAUUAAUGGGCAUCGAUCUUCAAUCGGCAAUGAGGAUCCUUCUCCUCUCUUUCCUGAUCAUAAUGCCUCAGUUAGCUGUGCCCUGGUGAACUUGAUACAGUGCACCGUCUGAGCUUAUUCCAUCUUAAGAUCGGUAACACCAUGGUCUUCUGAAGUUAUGCUCUCUGAAGACUUUAUUACCACCUGUGUUCCAAAUCUAGCAGCAAGCACUACUAGGGUCAGGGACCCAUUCCUGGAACUCUGAUCCUAAAUUCCCCUGAUAAUGUGAGCCGUCAUACCCUUCUCUCCGUCUUAUCAAUCAGUUUCGAGUUCACGAAAUGGUAACGGGACAGUCUUUACUGCUCUGAACUUGCCAACAUUGUUCAAGUGUUCAUUCUCCAGCCUGCAAUCCAGUCAACCAUAUACCCGAGUUAUAAUAAAACACUAAACUAAACUAAAGUUAAUGAUUCCAGCUCUAUUCUAAUUUCAAAUACCUGUAGAAGUUCCAAUGCCCCCGCCGGAUUAUUUCUAAUGAGGCAAGUGAAAAGUCCAGCAGGCGAGUCUCCACCUUACCAACACGGAACUUCAUUACGCUCUCAGUCCAGGCCAGGCGAAGUAGUAGAUUGAGCACCUGCGUCGUGAAGGCAUUAGUACUCCUAAAG